rnacentral:rRNA from 1 species
AGUGAACGCUGGCGGUAGGCCUAACACAUGCAAGUCGAACGGCAGCACAGUAAGAGCUUGCUCUUACGGGUGGCGAGUGGCGGACGGGUGAGGAAUACAUCGGAACCUACUUUUUCGUGGGGGUUAACGUAGGGAAACUUACGCUAAUACCGCAUACGCCCUACGGUUGAAAGCAGGGGAUCUUCGGACCUUGCGCGAUUGAAUGAGCCGAUGUCGGAUUAGCUAGUUGGCGGGGUAAAGGCCCACCAAGGCGACGAUCCGUAGCUGGUCUGAGAGGAUGAUCAGCCACACUGGAACUGAGACACGGUCCAGACUCCUACGGGAGGCAGCAGUGGGGAAUAUUGGACAAUGGGCGCAAGCCUGAUCCAGCCAUACCGCGUGGGUGAAGAAGGCCUUCGGGUUGUAAAGCCCUUUUGUUGGGAAAGAAAAGCAGCAGGUUAAUACCCCGCUGUUCUGACGGUACCCAAAGAAUAAGCACCGGCUAACUUCGUG